UACAGAGGGUGCGAGCGUUAAUCGGCAUUCCUGGGCGUAAAGCGCACGUAGUCGGCUUUGCAAGUCGGGUGUGAAAUCCCCGGGCUCAACCUGGGAACUGCAUCCGAGACUGCAUUGCUAGAGUAUGGGAGAGGGAAGCGGAAUUUCUGGUGUAGCAGUGAAAUGCGUAGAUAUCGGGAGGAACAUCAGUGGCGAAGGCGGCUACCUGGCCCAAUACUGACACUCAGGUGCGACAGCGUGGGGAGCAAACAGG
rnacentral:rRNA from 1 species